rnacentral:rRNA from 1 species
UUGACCUCGGAUCAGGUAGGGAUACCCGCUGAACUUAAGCAUAUCAAUAAGCGGAGGAAAAGAAACCAACAGGGAUUGCCCUAGUAACGGCGAGUGAAGCGGCAACAGCUCAAAUUUGAAAUCUGGCUCUUUUAGAGUCCGAGUUGUAAUUUGCAGAGGGCGCUUUGGCUUUGGCAGCGGUCCAAGUUCCUUGGAACAGGACGUCACAGAGGGUGAGAAUCCCGUACGUGGUCGCUGGCUAUUGCCGUGUAAAGCCCCUUCGACGAGUCGAGUUGUUUGGGAAUGCAGCUCUAAAUGGGAGGUACAUUUCUUCUAAAGCUAAAUAUUGGCCAGAGACCGAUAGCGCACAAGUAGAGUGAUCGAAAGAUGAAAAGCACUUUGGAAAGAGAGUCAAACAGCACGUGAAAUUGUUGAAAGGGAAGCGCUUGCAGCCAGACUUGCUUGCAGUUGCUCAUCCGGGCUUUUGCCCGGUGCACUCUUCUGCAGGCAGGCCAGCAUCAGUUUGGGCGGUAGGAUAAAGGUCUCUGUCACGUACCUCUCUUCGGGGAGGCCUUAUAGGGGAGACGACAUACUACCAGCCUGGACUGAGGUCC